rnacentral:lncRNA from 1 species
GGCUAAGGUGAGUGCCUAGAUGAGGGCCGGACUCUGAAGGAAUCUGGGGUGCAGCCCACAGAGAUUCAGGGGACCCAGGAAUUCUGCUUUCCAGCCGGGCCUUACCCUAAGUGUCCUGGUGGCAGGAGAGGGUGGAGAGAGGGUGUGUGUGUGUGCACUGUGGAGGGUGGUGCUAAGUGGUGUGGAGAGUUGCAGACCUAGUCUCCUCCUGGGCCCCUGGGGUCCUCGGCUUUGCCUUGCUCCUUGGGCUCUCCUAAUUUAAUGAAAGCACCUAGGAAAACCCGUGGCAGGAGACAGAGUAAAAAUCUUUUUACUGAGACACUGCAUGUGGAAAAAACUAUUACAGUUUCCAGCUUUAUAAAUUAAUAAAAAUCAAGCACCUGGUAAUGCUGUUUAGUCACAAUUACAUUAAGUUGGGGGUGCGGGUGC